AGGCAUGCACUUGCUGAACAUGGCAGUUCAAUUCAGACUUCCUUGUGAGUCACCUGCUGUGAUUUGCCAGACUCUGUCCCUCUGGCUCCUGGUAAUUCAGCAUCCGGAUGCAUAUGGCACCCCCUGUGGAGCAAAGGAUUGGUUCUCUGUGUAUGGCAAACACGAGCCAGCAAGUGUCACUUACUCUCACAUUGGACAGAUUCCCAAGGCAUCAAGGGCUCUGCUCCAGGAUAUUGUGUUCAGAAUCGCAUGGCUUGCCGCUAUAUUGUGACAUGACAUGCUGGAUGAGCGUCAAAAAGAAAACCGGUUUCUCGGGUGGAUGCUGCUGCUGAAGUGUAAAGUCAAGAAUUCAAAAAGGCAAAAACAAAAUCAAGGAUUCCUUGCAAAAGAGAGACGAGUUCAAACAAAUUACACUCCAGCCUUGAGGGGACAGAGGCAAAAUGGGGUGGGGGUGGGUGGGGGGGGACUGUCAGGAAGCGAGGGCUGGCCACACUGGCACCCACAGAAGAAUGGUUUGUAAUCAGAGAGAUGACAACUGGAACAAGUAGAUGGAUUUUAAAAAUGCAGGCUUUUGCCUCACCGAAGGAAAUUGCGUGUGUGCCUUCUUUUGUAGCGUAAAGAGAAUGCAUGUUUAAUUGAUAUCCUGCAACUACAAUACCUCCAUCACUUCUGCCAGCGCCAGAUGGCUUGAAUCUCAUUUCCAUCGCUAAGAUAUCGUGUUUUGGCAGCAAUUCUGAAGCUAUGACAGUCGUUAUUCUUUGCAUGCUGAAUGCAACAAUUAAAUGGAUAUUAAACCAAUGCACAAUUUCCAUGGAUGCUAUAUACUACGAUUUGAAGUGAAAGCACAAUUCAAAAUAGAUUACUUUUUUCUUUCCCCAAGCACUAGGGUGUACUUAUUAGAUUAGUGGGCUGGAAGCAAAGAGGAUCUUGGUAAGGCACUAAAAUAAACCAACAGAAUGUGAGUUGAUUAUAAUCACCUUAAUCUUUCAGGUUGAGUGGAUAUACACACAUGCAUUCUCAUAUAGACUACCCUGUAUGACUGUCAUGCGAUUUCUCUGUAUUAUGGCUUGGAAAUGUUAGGGUGAAAGUCAGAUAUUCUUAAAUUAUAUUGUAUGUGUAAGUAUUUUAGUUUUAGUGAGUACAUGUUCUCCUGGAUGUACCAGGCCUUAAAAAAAAAAGAGCAGCACAUUUGGAUUCUCAUGAAAUAUUCCCACCACAUGCUCAUUCCAAAAGGCACAGACAUUUGUUAUGAUGUACAACAUUAACUUGAUACAAAUGCAAUGAUGCAAUUUAACCAUUGUUCAAUGUAGGGUAAAAAAAACCUGAGCAUCUUAUAUUUUUAUGGUAUCUUCAGCUGCCUCUGAAACUCAUUUGUCCAAAAAAAAAAAAAAAAAAGACCUGAAAAAAUUAAGGCUUGUUCCAAAGUGGUCCCAUAAUUUUAAGGACAAUUUUGCUUUGA